UAUGGCAAUACCACCCUGAACAGGCCCAAUCUCAUCUGAUCUCAGAAGCAAGAAGGGCCGUGCCUAGUUAGUACUUGGAAGGAAGGUAGGGUCUCGCUAUGU
rnacentral:rRNA from 1 species